rnacentral:rRNA from 1 species
GGACCCGACUGCUAUCAGAGUGGGACCAAGCCAUGCGAGUCAACAUAGCAAUAUGUGGCAUACGGCUCAGUAACACGUAGUCAACAUGCCCAGGGGACGUGGAUAACCCCGGGAAACUGAGGAUAAACCGCGAUAGGUCAUCACUUCUGGAAUGGGUAAUGACUUAAACCUAUAUGGCCCCUGGAUUGGACUGCGGCCGAUCAGGCUGUUGGUGAGGUAAUGGCCCACCAAACCUGUAACCGGUACGGGCUCUGAGAGGAGGAGCCCGGAGAUGGGCACUGAGACAAGGGCCCAGGCCCUAUGGGGCGCAGCAGGCGCGAAACCUCUGCAAUAGGCGAAAGCUUGACAGGGUUACUCUGAGUGAUUUCCGUUAAGGAGAUCUUUUGGCACCUCUAAAAAUGGUGCAGAAUAAGGGGUGGGCAAGUCUGGUGUCAGCCGCCGCGGUAAUACCAGCACCCCGAGUGGUCGGGACGUUUAUUGGGCCUAAAGCAUCCGUAGCCGGUUCUACAAGUCUUCCGUUAAAUCCACCUGCUUAACAGAUGGGCUGCGGAAGAUACUAUAGAGCUAGGAGGCGGGAGAGGCAAGCGGUACUCGAUGGGUAGGGGUAAAAUCCGUUGAUCCAUUGAAGACCACCAGUGGCGAAGGCGGCUUGCCAGAACGCGCUCGACGGUGAGGGAUGAAAGCUGGGGGAGCAAACCGGAUUAGAUACCCGGGUAGUCCCAGCUGUAAACGAUGCAGACUCGGUGAUGAGUUGGCUUAUUGCUAACUCAGUGCCGCAGGGAAGCCGUUAAGUUUGCAGCCUGGGGAGUACGGUCGCAAGACUGAAACUUAAAGGAAUUGGCGGGGGAGCACCCACAAGGGGUGAAGCCUGCGGUUCAAUUGGAGUCAACGCCGGAAAUCUUACCGGGGGCGACAGCAGAGUGAAGGUCAAGCUGAAGACUUUACCAGACAAGCUGAGAGGAGGUGCAUGGCCGUCGCCAGCUCGUGCCGUGAGGUGUCCUGUUAAGUCAGGUAACGAGCGAGACC